rnacentral:rRNA from 1 species
GAGGUUAAGCGACUAAGCGUACACGGUGGAUGCCCUGGCAGUCAGAGGCGAUGAAGGACGUGCUAAUCUGCGAUAAGCGCCGGUAAGGUGAUAUGAACCGUUAUAACCGGCGAUUUCCGAAUGGGGAAACCCAGUGUGACUCGUCACACUAUCAUUAACUGAAUCCAUAGGUUAAUGAGGCGAACCGGGGGAACUGAAACAUCUAAGUACCCCGAGGAAAAGAAAUCAACCGAGAUUCCCCCAGUAGCGGCGAGCGAACGGGGAGGAGCCCAGAGCCUGAAUCAGCAUGUGUGUUAGUGGAAGCGUCUGGAAAGGCGCGCGAUACAGGGUGACAGCCCCGUACACAAAAGCGCAUGUGCUGUGAGCUCGAUGAGUAGGGCGGGACACGUGGUAUCCUGUCUGAAUAUGGGGGGACCAUCCUCCAAGGCUAAAUACUCCUGACUGACCGAUAGUGAACCAGUACCGUGAGGGAAAGGCGAAAAGAACCCCGGCGAGGGGAGUGAAAAAGAACCUGAAACCGUGUACGUACAAGCAGUGGGAGCACCCUUUGGGGUGUGACUGCGUACCUUUUGUAUAAUGGGUCAGCGACUUAUAUUCUGUAGCAAGGUUAACCGAAUAGGGGAGCCGGAGGGAAACCGAGUCUUAAUUGGGCGUUAAGUUGCAGGGUAUAGACCCGAAACCCGGUGAUCUAGCCAUGGGCAGGUUGAAGGUUGGGUAACACUAACUGGAGGACCGAACCGACUAAUGUUGAAAAAUUAGCGGAUGACCUGUGGCUGGGGGUGAAAGGCCAAUCAAACCGGGAGAUAGCUGGUUCUCCCCGAAAGCUAUUUAGGUAGCGCCUCGUGAAUUCAUCUCCGGGGGUAGAGCACUGUUUCGGCUAGGGGGCCAUCCCGGCUUACCAACCCGAUGCAAACUGCGAAUACCGGAGAAUGUUAUCACGGGAGACACACGGCGGGUGCUAACGUCCGUCGUGAAGAGGGAAACAACCCAGACCGCCAGCUAAGGUCCCAAAGUCAUGGUUAAGUGGGAAACGAUGUGGGAAGGCCCAGACAGCCAGGAUGUUGGCUUAGAAGCAGCCAUCAUUUAAAGAAAGCGUAAUAGCUCACUGGUCGAGUCGGCCUGCGCGGAAGAUGUAACGGGGCUAAACCAUGCACCGAAGCUGCGGCAGCGACGCUGAUGCGUUGUUGGGUAGGGGAGCGUUCUGUAAGCCUGUGAAGGUGGCCUGUGAGGGUUGCUGGAGGUAUCAGAAGUGCGAAUGCUGACAUAAGUAACGAUAAAGCGGGUGAAAAGCCCGCUCGCCGGAAGACCAAGGGUUCCUGUCCAACGUUAAUCGGGGCAGGGUGAGUCGACCCCUAAGGCGAGGCCGAAAGGCGUAGUCGAUGGGAAACGGGUUAAUAUUCCCGUACUUGGUGUUACUGCGAAGGGGGGACGGAGAAGGCUAUGUUGGCCGGGCGACGGUUGUCCCGGUUUAAGCGUGUAGGUGUGUGUUCCAGGUAAAUCCGGUUCACUUUAACACUGAGGCGUGA